rnacentral:rRNA from 1 species
ACUUUCACAAGUCUGAAAGUGCCUGAACUCCUCAUUUCUCAGAAGCUAUUCGGACUCGGGCCUGGUUAGUACUUGUAUUGGAGACCAACUAGGAACCACAGGUGCUGUAAGCU